rnacentral:rRNA from 1 species
UACAGAGGUCUCGAGCGUUGUUCGGAUUCAUUGGGCGUAAAGGGUGCGUAGGUGGCGCUGUAAGUCAGGUGUGAAAUUUCGGAGCUUAACUCCGAAACUGCAUUUGAUACUGCGGUGCUUGAGGAUUGGAGAGGAGACUGGAAUUUACGGUGUAGCAGUGAAAUGCGUAGAGAUCGUAAGGAAGACCAGUGGCGAAGGCGGGUCUCUGGACAGUUCCUGACACUGAGGCACGAAGGCCAGGGGAGCAAACGGG